GGACUUACUUGGAGGAGAUUGUAAUAUCUACACGCCAUCUGCAAGAGAUCAAUUGUGGGUUAAACUUUGUACUUUGAAUUAAACCUGCUAAUAGAUCUGGUCGCUUUGGACCAUAAAUCACUGAGGAUAAAUCUUCUAUACAAUCUGGAGUCAAUCUGUAAUUGAUGAUUCAUAAAGGUUCAAUACAAGAUAAGAAGAUUCAAAUAAAUUUUGUAAUAUACUUGGUUGGAGCAAUACCAAGCAGUAGACCGUGUGGCCUAAUGGAUAAGGCGUCGGACUUCGGAUCCGAAGAUUGCAGGUUCGAGUCCUGUCACGGUCGUGAGGAUCAUUAUUUUUGUUUCCUUGAUAUGUGAAAUGUAUCAGGUAUAAUCUGUUCGUGGGAAAGCUAAAGCAAGAACCUUCGAUAGCUCAGUUGGUAGAGCGGUGGACUGUAGUUGGCUUGAUUACACGGAGACAUCCAUAGGUCGCUGGUUCAAAUCCGGCUCGAAGGAAGUAUUUUUU